GGAGAGAUGCCCGAGUGGCCGAAGGGGUACGACUGGAAAUCGUAUGUACAAUAAAAUGUACCGAGGGUUCGAAUCCCUCUCUCUCCGCCA
rnacentral:tRNA from 3 species